rnacentral:rRNA from 1 species
AGUGAACGCUGGCGGUAGGCCUAACACAUGCAAGUCGAACGGCAGCACAGUAAGAGCUUGCUCUUACGGGUGGCGAGUGGCGGACGGGUGAGGAAUACAUCGGAAUCUACUUUUUCGUGGGGGAUAACGUAGGGAAACUUACGCUAAUACCGCAUACGACCACGGGUGAAAGCAGGGGAUCUUCGGACCUUGCGCGAUUGAAUGAGCCGAUGUCGGAUUAGCUAGUUGGCGGGGUAAAGGCCCACCAAGGCGACGAUCCGUAGCUGGUCUGAGAGGAUGAUCAGCCACACUGGAACUGAGACACGGUCCAGACUCCUACGGGAGGCAGCAGUGGGGAAUAUUGGACAAUGGGCGCAAGCCUGAUCCAGCCAUACCGCGUGGGUGAAGAAGGCCUUCGGGUUGUAAAGCCCUUUUGUUGGGAAAGAAAAGCAGCAGGUUAAUACCCCGCUGUUCUGACGGUACCCAAAGAAUAAGCACCGGCUAACUUCGUG